AAAUCCUAGCUAUCUUUUACAUGCCCACUCUGCUUUUUGGACUGAAUAUAUAUAAUAUAUUAUUUAUUAAUAUUAUUAUAUAUGAUUGAUUUAUAUUCGUUAGUCACUUUUGGAGUGGAAUUGUUCCGGGAGAGUGAAAAUAUUGAUAGAAGAAGAGCUGAGCCAUGGCGUCCUCAAGGGAUGAAAUCGUGGACUUGAACGUUGGAGGCACUUCCUUCAGCACCUCCAAAUCCACUCUCACGUCCAUUCCAGACACUUUCUUCUCUGCCUUGAUAUCCGAUCGCCUCACCUCUGCAAGGGAUAAAAAUGGUGCCAUCUUUAUCGAUAGGGAUCCGGAUCUAUUCAAAAUCAUUCUCAAUUAUUUAAGGACUCGCAGAAUAUUUGGAAAUCUGGAAAAGCCGGUGCUCAAGGCUCUCUUCUACGAGGCAGAGUUUUAUUCCAUUCUUCCUUUGGUCCGAAAGUUAAACCUCGUACUCAAAGACACCUCCGGCUGUGGGGACAUACUCUUCUAUACACUUGUCAAUCCUCCAAUGUUGUCAUUCCAGGAUCGGUCCAAGUUGGACUCCAUCACUUCCAACAAAAAAAGCCAAGACCCCUUUAGAGUUGUGAUGGUAAAGGCGUGUCAAGACUUCAUAGCCGUCGCCUACUCCCAUUUUGUGGCUCUUUAUAAAAACACCAAAGAAUAUGGAUAUAAACUAGAAUUUACAAGUCCAAUAAUUGAGAAUCACUCCAUUUAUAGGAUAGCUAUAGAUGGGAUCCCACAUACUGAAGAUGAGAAAUAUGUAGUGUUUGCCUAUGAUACAUUCAUUCAGAUAUAUUAUAUAAACUAUACAAAGGUUGAUGAAAAAAAAGUCUUGAAUGUGGAGCCCUUUAAUUUUGAGUUUUUUGUUGAUCAUUUAUUCUUUGUGGGGUCCCAUGUUGUUGCGCUAUCAAAAGAGGAUAAAAUUGGGAUUUGGAACUUCUAUCGAAAGAAUUGGCAUUGUCAGAAAAUCAAGGAAAAAAUUACUUCUUAUAACGCCACUGAGUCCAUUCUUCUUUUAGGCUCAGCCAAGGGGACCAUUCAUCAUAUCGAUAUGGAGAAACUCCCUUGUCGUAUAACGGAUAAUGACUUACUUGUCACUAAGUUCUAUUCUGAUCCUUGUAGUGAUUCCAUUACCUCCCUUUCUAAUUACUUCAACCGUGAUAAUAAAGAUAAUGGCAAUCCUUGUGAACUUGCCUAUGGUACAUCCUCUGGAUUAAUACGAAUUGUCGUACGCUAUCCUCACAUGAAUAAAUAUAGUUCCAAGUUAUUCUUAACACUCUUUGCUCAUCGCUUCCCUGUUACCAAAGUCAUCAUAACGGAAAAAUAUCUCAUCUCAGUAUGCUCUGAACACAAUCACGUACGAACGUGGGAAUUUCGUCGCUUUCGCGGAGAAAUCAUCACGCGACCUGGAGUUACGUCCGUCUCCUCAUUUAAUCUACUAACUAUUCAAGAGUCUCGUUCAUGCGGCCAUGUUGGACCCUAUGGGGAGCCAAAUGAUGAACAAGUCUUUAUUCAAAAAGUCAUUCCUGAAUCAAAUUCCCUUAAUGUAUUAAUGGCAUUGAAUGGUAAACGGGUUUGUGUCAUAAAGUCUGUUGAUAAAACAACCAUCACUUCUUUUUGUGAGAGUAAGUGUGCAAAAAAAGGCAAUCAAUACAUAUCUUGCAACUCAAGUAGAUAUAUAAUCACGGGUCAUUCCUCGGGUGCUCUACAAAUAUGGGAUUUGAAUACGGCCUUGGAUUUUCAUAACAAGGGGCAGUCCUUGAAUGGGGGAUCAGAUUCUAGCAGAGGGUCUAGUCCAAAUGAACUUAUUAAUAUUUUAGAAAAUUGUGACCUUACAGAUUCUCGUCCAUCCUCGCCAUCCCACUCAACCUAUUCCUCUCUAAGUGUUUCAAAUCUCUCUUUGACAAAAGGGGAUUCAUCAUCCACUCCUCUUUCCACCCAGCACCAAGAAACGUCAUCAUAAAGGGCUUUCAGUAUGUGUGGAGAAGGAGAUUCAUCUAUAGUUUUAAUUUUGUUAUUAUUAUUUUUUUUCAUAUACUCAACCCCCAAACAAUUACAUAUACAUUAGAUCUAGCAUGUGAUAUCUAAAAAUUCUCAUUCUUUUCUAAAGCUUUGAAACCAAUAAUGAGGAUCAUUGAUAAGGGCUUUACUCUCUAUUUAUAUUUUUUUAUAUUAUGAUUCAAAUAGCUUUUGUAUGUUUUUAUUAGAAGCGGGAAUAUAUUUAAUUGUGAUAGUUUCAAUAAUAUAUAUAUAUAUUUAAAAGAAAAUAUUUUAAAUAGUGUUUUUGUUGUAGGAUAAUGAUUAGUUAUGUCACUCACUUAAUUAUCCCCCCCUUCCACCUGGCUUAGGAAAUCAUACGGCCACAAAAUAUAUUAUAAUAUAAUUAUCAAUUGUUUUAUAAUUAUGAUUACUUAACGUAUAUUUUACACAAUUUAUAAUUAUUAGUUAUCGAUUAAAUCCAAAUUAGUUCUACAUAAAA
rnacentral:misc_RNA from 1 species